UAUUUUUACACAGAACUAAAUAUUUUAAGCAAUGUUUGCCAGCAAUAAGGAAGCAAGUAAAUCUGCAGAUUCAAAUAACUUCAAGGAAUCGCUGAAAAGUUGGAUAUCCGAUGCAACAAAACGAAAACUGUUGAUCAACGUCGCCUUAUUUGGAGUUGGUGUUUACAUUAGCUCUGCCUUCGCAGAUCUAACAUUUGAAGCACCUCUAGCACCACCACCUGGACAAUAAAUAUGUUUCUUUUAUCAAUGAACACUAUCUGCACAUGUGCUUCAUGGGCAGUUACCAGAACAAUGCUUAUUCUUUUGUCUAAAUAUCCCAAACUACAUGUGAUACAUGACUAUUUCAUUUGGAUUAACGUAGUAAGCUUCUCUGCCAACUUUUGGAAUAUGGUAUGUGAUGUUGUGAAACAACCAAGCUGGAAAAAAAUUCCAACUUCCUACAUAACAAGUUUAAACUGUUGUGGUGGAACACCUGGCACUGGAUUGUGUUAUUUCUUAUUCCAACAAAAACAGGAGAAAUCAACAUUUUUAAUAAUUUGUGCUGUACAAUGUGCCAUUUUAAUGCCACUGAUAGAAAAUUUGUACCCACGUUACCCAAGUGAACUACAAGUUACCCACACGUUGGAUGAGAUCGUAUAUACCCACAACAUGUUCUGGAAGCAACUAUUCAAUCGUUUCAAUUACAACACUUCAAGAAUAUUAAGCAGGAAUAUUUAUUUACCACAAAAGUUUGAUGGCAUUAAAACAAAUUUUAUGCAAUAAAAGCAUUUCAUUGGCA